ensembl:lncRNA
GGGAUAUUGUUUAAAGUAUAGCGAAAUACAAGAUACUAUGAGAGCAUGGAAGAGGAAGACUGCACCCCUCCCAGAUAAGCUUACUGUUGUUAUCUAAAUCUCAGCAGAAUCAAUUUUCAGAAGUUCAUGAAACUUACUCUAAAACUAUACUUAAUCAUAUGAAAUUCCAUGCUGCUACUAGGGCAUGGAUAUCAGGUCACAGGAAUUGGUACGAGGACACCGAUAAAAAACAGGCUCCCCAUGGAAGUGGUCACAGCCUCAAGCUGACAGAGUUCCAGAUGCAUCAUAUGGUCUGAGUUCUGGGUGGUUCUGUGAGGAGCCCAGACUUGGACUUGACAAUUCUUACGGGUCCUUUCUAACUCAAGAUGUUCUAUGCUUCUAUGAAAAACAGAAACAAAAACAAAACAAAACAAAAAAACUUGCUGAAUAUCCACUGCUUUUCCCUCAUCUACCCAGUGAGUCAUGACAUCAUAGAAGGCUACCAUAUUUGUCAAGCAUGAUUUCCCUUUGGUGAAUCCAUGUUGACUGCUCCUGGUAAGCUUAUUUUCUUCCACUUGCUUGGAGAUGACAUUCAAAAUAAGCUGUUCUAUCAUCUCCCCAGGGAUAAUGUUGAGGUUAACUGGCCUGUAGAUUCCUCAUUCCUCCUUCACUUUUUUGAAGACUGGAGUGACAUUGGUUUUCCUCCAGUCUUCAGUCACCCCUCCAAUUCUCCAUGAUCUUUAAAAAUGAGAGCAGUUUUGCAAUCACUUCUUUCAGCUCCCUGAGCACUCGUGGGUGCAUCCCAUUGGGGUUCAGGAAUUUGUGUGCAUAGUUCAGGGAUUUGAGUGCAUAGAGACUCUCUGUCUCUUUUGUUAAGUCAUACGAAUGAGGAACAUGACGACGUAAAACUUCUUUGAGAAAAUCUGUAUGUGUUUCAUGUCUCAGGUAUACUUUUCAGUUACAGUAAGCUCUCCUGUGGACAGUAAAUUGAUCAUAAUUUCUUGAGGGCAAUGACUAAAAGAAAUAAAUCAUUUUGCUGCAAUUUGCUGUUUUUCAAUUUGUUAAUUACUGAAAAGGAAGUCUGAUUUAUUUAUUUGAACUGGAGCAGAAUCUUGUAUUAGAAUAAAGUAAUGUGUAAUCAAAUACUAAUUGGGAUGAGGACAGUAAGAGUGAUAUUCUAUGAUGAUGUUUUGAUUCAGAGUACUAGCUAAUGCUUACUUUAAAUUAGUAAACCCAGAGUACGUGCAGUUUCUCUUUGCAACAGUAUAUUCUGGACAGUGACAAGGCUAAUGCUUUCUCAGCUGGUGGUGAUCUCUACAGAAAACUCUGUAGCAAACUUUUUUGUGUAUAUAUGCAUGUAACACAAUGAAGGUCUAAGAGAAAAAUACCAUGCAAAAAAACAAAACAAAACAAAACAACAACAACAACAACAAAAAAAAAACAGUACAGGUUAUUUAUGUGGAACUCGUGCUAAAACAAGAGUCUUUACUGUUGUAGACUGAAAAUCAGAAAAAGAAGGCCACACACUUAAAUGACUAAUCACUCACAAUAGACUACUUUCUACAGAGGUAUGUUUUUCUUACCAGCAGCUAACAGUGUGCUGCAGAACAGGAGAUACCCAUGUGCUCUUGCAAGAAGCGUAGUCUUUAUGGUGAAGUUCAGUGUAGAUUUAGUUCAUUCUUUAUCAACAGCCCUGAUAGAGCACAGAGAUGCUCUCUGAGUAUUGUUUCAGAAACACAGCUUCAUAAAUUUCAGUAUAAAGAAUAGUAUUUAUUUUGAUAUUGUCAUAGCUGUUGUGUUAAUGAUUUCCAGGAUCUUUGUCAUUUAAUAUAAAAUUUCACUUACAGUAUUAUGACAGUUACGAAACAGCUAUGAUGUAGCAGAUUUUAAAUCAGUUGAGAAAUGUGUGUAUAUAAAAUACUCAUCUGUUUUUUUUUGUUUGUUUUUUGUUUUUUUCCUACAAACAGUUAACAUUUGAUUGAAGAAUUUACUUCAUCCAAGAAAAGGGUACAAAAAUUCUUUAAUCUCUAUUUGCCAUUUGGAUAUCUAUCAUACCACAGGCUUUCUCCAUUAUUAGUUGAUUUCAGUUUGUAUAAUUUAUCCUGUUGUGACUGAAGUGGAGGUGAGGUUGUUUCUGUAAAAUCUGCCAAUUAAUUGGUUUGCUUCAGUUUAAUUAUAACUGCAUUUUUGAAAUUUGCUACUACAACAUUCACCUUUGGUAUGCUCAUAUUUCUCAUCUGUAGUGAUUUAUACAGUAUAUCUAUAUCUAACAUAAUGUGCAUAAAGAAAACAAAGACAGCAAAAUUGACUAUCUUUCAAAAAACUGAGCUGUUGUGGCUUUACCCAGCAGACGGUUAAUCACAGCCAUUCACUCACUCCCCCACCCUGCAGGAGUAUGGAGGAGAAAACUGAAAAUUGCAAGUACUUAUGGGAUGACACAACGUUGGCUAAUGUGAAAAGACUAGAUUAUUCAAAAUGAGUAGGUUCUGAUGUUUGAAAUACUGAAUAUAUUUUUCAGGUAGUACAAACUGUCUAAAGGGAAUUCAUUUGCUGUAAUAGAAAGUUCAGUGUUCAUGACAUUUUUCACAUGUGUACAGAAGCAUCCAAAAUUACCUUAAGUGUGAAGUAGCAG